CAACCCACCCACCGUCUCCACCUAAACAGGGCCGGCGGUGUCACCGUCGUCACCCCUUGACCUCUUAGAACCUCUUUCUCACUCCCACGCCACCACCACCAAAAAAUCCCAAAACCAGAAACUAAAGAAUCCCCAAUGGCAAAUACCCAGAAAAAACCCAUAACUCACAAACACAUCAUCGGGAUUUGCUUCACUCACAAAGCAAGUCGGCAUGUUGUGUUUUGCUUCCUUUGAUGCUAUAUAUGGCGAUGGAGGAGGACGAAGAGAUCUGAGAUGGGAGCGCAGAUCGACGACGAAAAUGGCCGAACCCACACAACAACCUUUCAAUAUAUCCCCUGUUUGUUUGAGCAGUGAAGGUGCAUGCUAAAAUUCUCCCAGAGGACUUGCGUGGAUCUUUGGUUGGAUGCCUUGCUCUUCUGUAAUUGCAAGGGCUCGUGGCUGCUGUUACUAAACUAGUGGGGGAUUUGGUUUGUUCAGGUUUUCUUUUGUGCAAUAGCAGCUUUACCAAAAUGGAAUACCAAAAAAAAAACCUUAACCAGCUCAAAGGUGUUCCCAUCUUCUCAACUUUACUGAGGUGGUUCCCGAAUUGAAGAUUAUCCUCCUUUUUCAUUUGCCCCUCUCUUUUAUUGUUUUUUUCUUCUGUGUAAUUUGUUCUUGGAAACUUGUAAUAAAGCAAGACUCUUUCUAGCUUGGACAUUCAAGUUGUGAUGGGAGAGGAAAUUCCGAUGAUAUGAAAUUAGAUUUGAAUCUGAGUCCA